AGAACGAACGCUGGCGGCAGGCUUAACACAUGCAAGUCGAGCGCCCAGCAAUGGGAGCGGCGGACGGGUGAGUAACACGUGGGAACAUGCCUUUCGGUACGGAACAACUGCGGGAAACUGCAGCUAAUGCCGUAUGCGCCCUUACGGGGAAAGAUUUAUCGCCGAAAGAUUGGCCCGCGUCUGAUUAGCUAGUUGGUGAGGUAACGGCUCACCAAGGCUUCGAUCAGUAGCUGGUUUGAGAGAACGACCAGCCACACUGGGACUGAGACACGGCCCAGACUCCUACGGGAGGCAGCAGUGGGGAAUCUUGGACAAUGGGGGAAACCCUGAUCCAGCCAUGCCGCGUGAGUGAUGAAGGCCUUCGGGUUGUAAACUCUUUUACCAGGGAAGAUAAUGACUGUACCUGGAGAAUAAGCCCCGGCUAACUUCGCGCCAGCAGCCGC
rnacentral:rRNA from 1 species